rnacentral:rRNA from 1 species
UAACUCCGUGCCAGCAGCCGCGGUAAUACGGAGGAUGCAAGCGUUAUCCGGAUUCAUUGGGUUUAAAGGGUCCGCAGGCGGAAUAUUAAGUCAGUGGUGAAAUCCUACAGCUUAACUGUAGAACUGCCAUUGAUACUGGUUUUCUUGAGUUCACCUGAAGUGGGCGGAAUGUGUCAUGUAGCGGUGAAAUGCUUAGAUAUGACACAGAACACCAAUUGCGAAGGCAGCUCACUAAAGUGUAACUGACGCUGAGGGACGAAAGCGUGGGUAGCGAACAGGAUUAGAUACCCUGGUAGUCCACGCCGUAAACGAUGAUCACUAGAUGUUGGCGAUAUAUUGUCAGUAUCUGAGCGAAAGCAUUAAGUGAUCCACCUGGGGAGUACGGUCGCA